CCUGGCUCAGGCCUUACGCGGGCGGCGCGCCUAACACAUGCAAGUCGAACGACCUAUGAGGAGCUUGCUCUUCAAAUCGAGUGGCGAACGGGUGAGUAACGCGUGAGGAACCUGCCUCAAAGAGGGGGACAACAGUUGGAAACGACUGCUAAUACCGCAUAAGCCCACGGCUCGGCAUCGAGCAGAGGGAAAAGGAGUGAUCCGCUUUGAGAUGGCCUCGCGUCCGAUUAGCUAGUUGGUGAGGUAACGGCCCACCAAGGCGACGAUCGGUAGCCGGACUGAGAGGUUGAACGGCCACAUUGGGACUGAGACACGGCCCAGACUCCUACGGGAGGCAGCAGUGGGGAAUAUUGCACAAUGGGGGAAACCCUGAUGCAGCGACGCCGCGUGGAGGAAGAAGGUCUUCGGAUUGUAAACUCCUGUUGUUGAGGAAGAUAAUGACGGUACUCAACAAGGAAGUGACGGCUAACUACGUGCCAGCAGCCGCGGUAAAACGUAGGUCACAAGCGUUGUCCGGAAUUACUGGGUGUAAAGGGAGCGCAGGCGGGAGAACAAGUUGGAAGUGAAAUCCAUGGGCUCAACCCAUGAACUGCUUUCAAAACUGUUUUUCUUGAGUAGUGCAGAGGUAGGCGGAAUUCCCGGUGUAGCGGUGGAAUGCGUAGAUAUCGGGAGGAACACCAGUGGCGAAGGCGGCCUACUGGGCACCAACUGACGCUGAGGCUCGAAAGUGUGGGUAGCAAACAGGAUUAGAUACCCUGGUAGUCCACACCGUAAACGAUGAUUACUAGGUGUUGGAGGAUUGACCCCUUCAGUGCCGCAGUUAACACAAUAAGUAUCCACCUGGGGAGUACGACCGCAAGGUUGAAACUCAAAGGAAUUGACGGGGGCCCGCACAAGCAGUGGAGUAUGUGGUUUAAUUCGACGCAACGCGAAGAACCUUACCAAGUCUUGACAUCCUGCGACGCACAUAGAAAUAUGUGUUUCCUUCGGGACGCAGAGACAGGUGGUGCAUGGUUGUCGUCAGCUCGUGUCGUGAGAUGUUGGGUUAAGUCCCGCAACGAGCGCAACCCUUAUGGUCAGUUACUACGCAAGAGGACUCUGGCCAGACUGCCGUUGACAAAACGGAGGAAGGUGGGGAUGACGUCAAAUCAUCAUGCCCUUUAUGACUUGGGCUACACACGUACUACAAUGGCGUUAAACAAAGAGAAGCAAGACCGCGAGGUGGAGCAAAACUCAGAAACAACGUCCCAGUUCGGACUGCAGGCUGCAACUCGCCUGCACGAAGUCGGAAUUGCUAGUAAUCGUGGAUCAGCAUGCCACGGUGAAUACGUUCCCGGGCCUUGUACACACC
rnacentral:rRNA from 1 species